rnacentral:lncRNA from 1 species
CUGCUCGGUGGCCUCCUCUGCGUCUGGCUGUCUCCCCCCACUUGCGUCUCUCUCCCCCCUUUGUUCUCGCCUCCGAGCGCUCCCCGCAGCCUCCCCUCCCCCCCUGGUAUUUAAAUCGCCUGCAGGCCCGGAGCCCUCCCCCCGCGGGCCUCCGGGGACACGCAGUGUCCAUCCCAGUGGAGGGGCCCAUCGGGGGAGGGGCGGAGGGGGAGGGUCUCCUUUGUCUGCGCGGCGGCGGCCGCCUGCGCCGGGGAGGGAGGAGGAGGGGGAGCCCGGCCCGGCGCAACCCCCAGGGCCUCUCCUCGGGCCGAAGCCCGUGGUUGCUACAAAGAGGAGCCAGGACUAGAAUUAGGGAAUUGGAGCCGGCUCAGUUCGGGGAAGCUGCAGGAGUUCGGCGUGGGUGAUGGCAGCAAGCUGACCUUGGUACCCACCGUGGAAGCGGGCCUCAUGGUAAAUGGCCAUGGGUCUGCGUGCCCCCAGAGGCCCCCGCACACAGGCAGUAGCUCCUCCCUCGGCACCUGUC